CAAUCCCUCAGCGCCGAUUUGUUCCGGAUUGCGGGCGCUCUACAAAUGCCGCUAAACAGGGCUCCGAGCAACCGGC
rnacentral:ncRNA from 2 species